rnacentral:lncRNA from 1 species
CUCUAGGAAAUCGCAUAGAUCACCUGCAUGAGGAUUAUGUGAACCGGAAACUUCACAUGGAGCAAAAGAUAAAAGAACUGGAAGAUGCUGAUGUCAGAAACUGGUCUAAACAACAACUAUCUCUAGCAGCUGAGCGAGAACAAAUUCUGAAACAGAGUAAAAUGCAAACCGAAUUGAACUGGCAGCAGCUCUGUGAAAAUGCUGAAUGUAAUUGGUGUCAGAGAUCAGAGGAUCUAACACACAGCCUGUCUUCAUCAAAAGAGGCGGUAUUUCAGUAUAAUGAUGAAAGUUCUCUGUGUAAAUAUAUCCCUGCUUUGGAAAUAAAAAAGCUGCAGGAACAGAAUGCCAGCCUUCGGGCUGCUAUUGCACAAAUGAGGAAAGAAAUGGAGAGUCUGGAUGAGCAGAUAUUGUCUUCUCUUCCUCUAACAGAAGACAGACAGUUUGCAGAGCAAGGUUCAUUGAGCACAAACAAAAUUUCAGCUGGAACCACACUGAGCAACACCAAAAUCAGUUCAGCUAAGCUGGAUUGUAUAGUAAACUCAGACACAGAAGAGGGGCCAGAACCCAAAGUUCUUGAAGAAAACAUGGCAGAUUUUGGACAAACACUACCUGCUGUAGGUACUGGUGUUGGUUGUCAGUAUAGUGUCAAACGCACUCUACAAGGAAUGCAAAGUAAACUCAAGGAAGCAGCAAGAAAAAUCUCAAUUCUGAGCCAAGAAAAGCGGCAAUUGAUUGAAAUGGGAAACAGACUCAGGGCAGAACUUGGAAUGGUGCUAAAGGAAGGACUCUGGCAUCCUGUUAGCUCUAACCACUGCACAGUUUGUAUUGCUUCUGGUAGUCUUCUUCCAAGAGAACUUGUCAAAAGAACAGAGUGUCAGCUAUCAGUUCUAAAGUAUCUACAGCACAGACUCUCAACACAGAUUAAAAGAAGAAGCUCCAAGCAGCUGUGGGGAAGAAACAAAAUUACCAUCUGCUGA